AGAUUAUUUCGGAAGCUUGGAUUAUUGCAUGAAAAAAAAUGAAUUACUGCCAUCUUUCAACUAUUGUCAACAAAACGGAAAACAAAGUGGUUUGAAGGGACAAAUUUCCUGGAUAAAUGUCUUUCGUGAAGAAGUUGAAGUUGUUAGAAACCAAGAUUUUUAUGACAAACCCGAACGCUGCUUUUCUGGAGUAUUUAUCCCAGUGGAAGGAAAAAUAGUACUUAAUAUGACAGAACAAGAGUGCAGCAAAAAUAUAACAUGGUAUAUAUGCAAAACGAUUGCAACCAUAGAAAGAGAAAGCAAAACACAAAGUCCUUCAUAUACAUUCAAUGUAAGCAAGGAUGAACAAGUUAACACUUCACCGGACCCAUCGUUUACACACGAUAAAGAAAAAAA